UGUCGGGGUGCUUCAGAAAUGAAGCUGAGAUUAAACCCGUAGAACCUGAUCCGGUUAAUGCCGGCGUAGGAAGCGAGAUAA
rnacentral:ncRNA from 1 species